rnacentral:rRNA from 1 species
GCAUAACGCCUUCGGGCCAAAGAGGGGGACCUUCGGGCCUCUCGCGUCAGGAUAUGCCUAGGUGGGAUUAGCUAGUUGGUGAGGUAAAGGCUCACCAAGGCGACGAUCCCUAGCUGGUCUGAGAGGAUGAUCAGCCACACUGGAACUGAGACACGGUCCAGACUCCUACGGGAGGCAGCAGUGGGGAAUAUUGCACAAUGGGCGCAAGCCUGAUGCAGCCAUGCCGCGUGUGUGAAGAAGGCCUUCGGGUUGUAAAGCACUUUCAGUCGUGAGGAAGGCAGUACAGUUAAUAGCUGUAUUGUUUGACGUUAGCGACAGAAGAAGCACCGGCUAACU